GACAUUGAAAGGUGAAGCUUUCUGGAUCGGAGAGGCAACAGAGUAACCUUGCAUAGACUUUUUCAGCUUAAUCAAAUCAGCAGAACUUGUGAGACGCUCCAUUAGAAUCUCCCAGGUGGUCUGAUUGGCUUCACAUGACAGCUCAUUCAUCUCAUCCAUCAGUUUAAACAACGUCUCCUUUUGGUUCUCCCCCUUAAGACACCUGAACAAGGCAUUGUAUGUUUCAACAUUUGGUCUCACCAUUUUCUCCUUCAUUUCCUCUUUCAGAAACAGUGCUUUUCCGAGACUCCCAAGCUUUCAAAAUGCGUUUAUGAGAAUGUUGUAUAACACAGUGUCUGGAUUUACCUUGGAGUGCAAACCCAUGUCAUUGAAUAGCUUCAAUGCCUCGUUUAUAUCCCCAGCUGAGCUAUAAGCUUUGAUUAUCGCUCCAUAUGUCAUAUCUCUCUCUCUCUCUCAUGCUGACUAUUCUGUUUUUGUAGAAAAUCUGCAUGAAGAGAGAAUUCUAGUAGGAUUACAAGAAUGGGAACGUGAUGCCGUCGCAGUUGGUCAUGAGUAAGCUAGAGAAAUUGUUUGGAACUAGAUUCAAGCUAGAUUAAUAGCUCCUUCUCUUUCUUGUAUUCCCUGAAUCUAAAUAUUUAUGUUCUUCUUUGUUGCUUUUAACGUUCUUUCAUUAUGCUAAGUAUACUCAACUCAAUACCGGGCCUCUUUUUUAUAUGUAUUUGUAAACAACCAAAGGAAAAGGAUUCUGCGAAUGGUAGAAAUGCAUUUCACCUUAACUGCAAAAAUUACGAAAAAAGGAAUACCUUCCUUUUUGUUAAGUUAUUACAAUUGCACAAUAAACUAACGAUUGUGUAAUUGUAUAAAAGUAACGAAGAAUCGAGGUAUAGGUUACUGAAGCUGAACCAUUAUCCCAAGCUAAAGACAUUGAAAGGUGAAGCUUUCUCGAUCGGAGAGCCAACAGAGUAACCUUGCAUAGACUUUUUCAGCUUAAUCAAAUCAUCAGAACUUGUGAGACACUCCAUUAGAAUCUCCGAGGUGGUCUGAUUGGCUUCACAUGACAGCUCGUUCAUCUCAUCCAUCAGUUUAAACAACGUCUCCUUUUGGUUUUCCCCCUUAAGACACCUGAACAAGGCAUUGUAUGUUUCAACAUUCGGUCUCACCAUUUUCUC
rnacentral:lncRNA from 1 species